rnacentral:tRNA from 1 species
GCCUCGGUAGCUCAGUUGGGAGAGCGCAAGACUGAAGAUCUUGAGGUCGCCGGUUCAAUCCCGGCCCGCGGCA